UUUUUUUUUUUUCUUGUUAACAAUGACAGCAAACCUUCUGGAGUCUGAACCAGCAACGUAGCACACAAUAUACUACAAAACUCCUUCUCAUGUCCUCUCACUCCAGCACUUCCAUUCUCCCCACCAAUGGCCCUAUUUGUUUACUGCCAUGUUGCUGUUGCGUUUCACAAGGUUGCUGAUUUCUUCUCCAAAGAUUUGUUUCCCGGGGGCCUCCCAGUGUUGUAGAACCUACAGUGUAUGACUUGGAGGAGUCAAUGAGAUUUCCUCUCCAUUCUAAUCACAUAUAAGUCUCGCUUGUUGCCCAGGCUGGAAUGCAGUGCAGUGGUGUGAUCUCGGCUCACUGAAACCUCCGGCAACCUCCACCUCCCGAGUUCAAGCAAUUCUCGUGCCUCAGCCUCCUGAGUAGCUGGGACUACAGGUGCACACUACUACUCCUGGAUAAUUUUUCUUGUUGCCCAGACUGGUCUCGAACUCCUGACCUCAAAUAAUCCACCAGCCUCGGCCUCCUGAAGUCCGGGGAACUACAGGCGUGAGCCACCAUGCCUCGCCUGUUUUCUCUUUUCAUUCUUUUAAACAUGUAAAAAGUAACUUUGAACUGGAAAGCACUUCCAUUUUAAAUAAAAAUGAAGUAAUUUGAGGGAUUAAUCAUCUCACGUAACAAUCUUGAGUGAUGAGAAUUGACAGAAUUCAUUGUUUUGUUUUUCAGUUACAACCAAUAAAAAUGUGGAUCGUUAAGUUCAUGUGCUCUUGGGGCCUACUUAUGGGCUUGAGCUCCAUCGUUUACAUUAAUGUCUCAAUUAAAUAAUUUCCCAUAACUUUUUUUUACAUAUUUCUCCAUAUGAAAAUAAAGAAAAUAAAAAUCAUAAAUCCUUCAAA
ensembl:lncRNA novel transcript